rnacentral:rRNA from 1 species
CUGGACUAACUCCGUGCAGCAUGCCGCGGUUAAUACGGAGGGAUGCAAGAGUUCAAUCGGGAAUUACUGGGCGUAGAGCGCACGCAGUUCGGUUCUGCUAGGUCAGAUGAUGACAAUCCCCCGGGCAUGAGCAUGGCGAUCUGCAUUUUGAGAACUGGCAGGCUUGAGUAUCGUAGAGGGGGGUAGCACUGCCAGGUGUAGCGCUGAAAUGCGUAGAGAUCUGGAGGAAUACCUGGUGGCGAAGGCGGCCUCCCUGGACGAAGACUGACGCUCAGGUGCGAAAGCGUGGGGAGCAAACAGGAUUAGAUACCCUGGUAGUACUACGCCGUAAACGAUGUCGACUUGGAGGUUGUUGCCUUGAGGAGUGGCUUCCGGAGCUAACGCGUUAAGUCGACCGCCUGGGGAGUACGGCCGCAAGGUUAAAACUCAAAUGAAUUGACGGGGGCCCGCACAAGCGGUGGAGCAUGUGGUUUAAUUCGAUGCAAAGAGAAGACCCUUACCUACUCUCGACAUCCACAGAAUCCGGCAGAGAUGCCUUAGUCCCUUCCGGAACCGUGAGACAGUUGCUGCAUGGCUGUCGUCAGCUCGUGUUGUGAAAUGUUGGGUUAAGUCCCGCAACGAGCGCAACCCUUAUCCUUUGUUGCCAGCGAUUCGGUCGGGAACUCAAAGGAGACUGCCGGUGAUAAACCGGAGGAAGGUGGGGAUGACGUCAAGUCAUCAUGGCCCUUCCGAGUAGGGCUACACACGUGCUACAAUGGCGCAUACAAAGAGAAGCGACCUCGCGAGAGCUAGCGGACCUCAUAAACUGCGUCGUAGUCCGGAUCGGAGUCCGCAACUCGCCUCCGUGAAGUCGAAUCAGAGUUUGAUCCUGGCUCAGAAU